UGGCCUCUCCAUAGGGCAGCUCAAAACAUGGCAGCCCUUUUUUCAUCAAAGCAAACACAUGAAAGAGCAAUCAAGGGCAAGUAUGAUGGAAACCAAAGUCUUUCUGUAGCCCAGUCUCGGAACCAAAAUCUCAUUACUUCUGCCUUAUUCUGUUGGUUAGAAGCAAAUUACUAGACAUCUACAGAACUCUCCACUCCAAAUCAACAGAAUAUACAUUCUUCUCAGCACCACCUCGCACUGUCU
rnacentral:lncRNA from 10 species